GGGCGGAUAGCUCAGUGGGGAGAGCAUCGGCCUUACAAGCCGGGGGUCAGAGGUUCGAAUCCUCUUCCGCCUACCA
rnacentral:tRNA from 1 species